rnacentral:rRNA from 1 species
UACGUAGGUGGCAAGCGUUGUCCGGAUUUACUGGGCGUAAAGAGCGCGCAGGCGGUCGUUCAAGUCGCGUGUGAAAGCCCCCGGCUCAACUGGGGAGGGUCACGCGAUACUGAUCGACUGGAAGGCAGGAGAGGGUAGUGGAAUUCCCGGUGUAGUGGUGAAAUGCGUAGAUAUCUGGAGGAACACCGGUGGCGAAGGCGGCAUCCUGGACCGGCAUUGACGCUGAGGCGCGAAAGCUAGGGUAGCAAACGGG